AUUGUACCAGUGCUCAGGACAGUGCGGGUAGGAAGGCUUCUUGCUUGCAUGACAUUCUGUUAUGCAUUCCUAUUUGCUAUUCACUGAGCACAGAAGAAUGUUUCUGGAUCUUUUAAGAGCUUGUGGACCUAAGAUUUUCCUACUUGUACACGAGUGUCAGAGGAUCCAUAUAUU
rnacentral:snoRNA from 1 species